GCUCCAGACAAGCUCUUGUAGCAUCGGUUGUCAGCGGGCCCCUGUCCUAGCCGCGAUCCAGGCUAGCGGCAGAUUGUGGCCUGCGCGAACGGUGCUCGGCUUGCGAUUAAUUUUUCAUCGCCGGGGCGCGGUAGCAAUAUGGCAGCUCGCUCAGCCGGCCCUAUGGCUCCCAGGCGCGUAUGCAGCGCUUUGCAAGCGCGCCCGAGGAGGGGCCUGGAAUCUGGCUGCGGGUUGCCUAGCGUUGCAGGAUGAUCUCCUUUUCACGUGCGCAAGCUAUAGCCACGCAUUUUGCUCAACUCGCUUGCUGCGCGCUUGCAGCAGGCAGUGCUUGGGCAGCUUGCGGCUGCUAGCUUUGCGCUUACUUAAAGGAGGAAGCUGG
rnacentral:rRNA from 1 species